rnacentral:rRNA from 1 species
UGAACGCUGGCGGCAGGCCUAACACAUGCAAGUCGAGCGGUAGCACAGAGAGCUUGCUCUCGGGUGACGAGCGGCGGACGGGCGAGUAAUGUCUGGGAAACUGCCUGAUGGAGGGGGAUAACUACUGGAAACGGUAGCUAAUACCGCAUAACGUCGCAAGACCAAAGUGGGGGACCUUCGGGCCUCAUGCCAUCAGAUGUGCCCAGAUGGGAUUAGCUAGUAGGUGGGGUAACGGCUCACCUAGGCGACGAUCCCUAGCUGGUCUGAGAGGAUGACCAGCCACACUGGAACUGAGACACGGUCCAGACUCCUACGGGAGGCAGCAGUGGGGAAUAUUGCACAAUGGGCGCAAGCCUGAUGCAGCCAUGCCGCGUGUGUGAAGAAGGCCUUCGGGUUGUAAAGCACUUUCAGCGGGGAGGAAGGCGUUAAGGUUAAUAACCUUGGCGAUUGACGUUACCCGCAGAAGAAGCACCGGCUAACUCCGUGCCAGCAGCCGCGGUAAUACGGAGGGUGCAAGCGUUAAUCGGAAUUACUGGGCGUAAAGCGCACGCAGGCGGUCUGUCAAGUCGGAUGUGAAAUCCCCGGGCUCAACCUGGGAACUGCAUUCGAAACUGGCAGGCUAGAGUCUUGUAGAGGGGGGUAGAAUUCCAGGUGUAGCGGUGAAAUGCGUAGAGAUCUGGAGGAAUACCGGUGGCGAAGGCGGCCCCCUGGACAAAGACUGACGCUCAGGUGCGAAAGCGUGGGGAGCAAACAGGAUUAGAUACCCUGGUAGUCCACGCCGUAAACGAUGUCGAUUUGGAGGUUGUGCCCUUGAGGCGUGGCUUCCGGAGCUAACGCGUUAAAUCGACCGCCUGGGGAGUACGGCCGCAAGGUUAAAACUCAAAUGAAUUGACGGGGGCCCGCACAAGCGGUGGAGCAUGUGGUUUAAUUCGAUGCAACGCGAAGAACCUUACCUGGUCUUGACAUCCACAGAACUUAGCAGAGAUGCUUUGGUGCCUUCGGGAACUGUGAGACAGGUGCUGCAUGGCUGUCGUCAGCUCGUGUUGUGAAAUGUUGGGUUAAGUCCCGCAACGAGCGCAACCCUUAUCCUUUGUUGCCAGCGGUCCGGCCGGGAACUCAAAGGAGACUGCCAGUGAUAAACUGGAGGAAGGUGGGGAUGACGUCAAGUCAUCAUGGCCCUUACGACCAGGGCUACACACGUGCUACAAUGGCAUAUACAAAGAGAAGCGACCUCGCGAGAGCAAGCGGACCUCAUAAAGUAUGUCGUAGUCCGGAUUGGAGUCUGCAACUCGACUCCAUGAAGUCGGAAUCGCUAGUAAUCGUAGAUCAGAAUGCUACGGUGAAUACGUUCCCGGGCCU